GACUCUCAAGAUCUGCGCCAAUCACUUCAUACUUCCAACGAUGUCAGUUCAGGAGCACGCUGGAAAUGACAAGUCCUGUGUGUGGCACGCCUCUGAUUUCGCUGAUGGUGAAUUAAAGAAUGAACUUUUUUGCAUCCGUUUUGCAUCAGUUGAGAAUUGCAAGACAUUCAGGGAAAUGUUUCAAGAAGUAGCUGAAUUCCAAAAAACAAAGGAGGAAAAUAAAGAUGCAACUGCUGCUGCUGAUGCCUUUAAUAAGUUGAGCGUUGAAGAAAAGAAAACUGAGGAGACAACUGAAGAAGAGGUGCCAGCUGAAGCUGAGGAGGCAGCAACUAAGGCUGAUGCAGAGAAUAAAGUUAAGGAGCCUCCUUCCUCAACCUGAGAAUGUUGGUUCCAUACUUUGGCAAUAUGAUGAGGUCUACCCCAAUUCUCGCCCCAUUUGUGGUUUGCUCGUGUCUGAAAUUUGGACUUAGUUAGUGGGCGGGAAUGGUGUGGGGUCCAUGCAUUCUGCAGUUUGAGUCUGUCUGCAUUAGUCAAAACAUUGGGUCAUUUGCAUGUUGAGGGUUAUGACCUGGAAAGGAUAGUUCAUCUAGGAUUUUGCAGUAGAACUAUUUAUUUACUUGGUGCAAAUUAAAUGAUUUAAUGCUCUAGUGGAUGAAAAAAGGAAAACAAAGAAAAAGAAAAAUGGAACUUCAAAGAGUUUUUGUUGGGAUAUAAGUUCCUGAAUUGUGCUGAGUCUGCUAUUUAUGUUGACGUAAAUUUGUGUGCUAUUGUCAAUACUUUCCUUUUUUCUGUUGAAAUUUGUUUAUCUAAUUUCCUUGAGCUAAUAUUCCAUUUAUGAGGAAUAAGUUUUGAUAUGUCAAUUGGUGAGAAAUGUAAAUCAGGUGAUUGGUUGUAUUAGAAAGAGUUGGAGGCUUAUGUAGGGGCAGUGCUGGCCAAGAGAUGACAUUGAAGAAUUAUUUAAUAAUAUUAAUAAAAAGGAAUUAAA
rnacentral:misc_RNA from 1 species